ACCUAGUAAGACUCUGGAAAAGAAAGAGGGAUCACCUGGAGCUACUCUUCCUACUGAACUUCUGACAUUCUCAGGUGGCUCUCCAUCCCACUUUGGGUUUUCACUAUAAUGAACGCCUUCAGCAAGCUCUGCAACUCAGGUUCCAGCACUCCCUCACUCUGAUACCAGCAUAUGAGAGACUAUGCUUGCCCUCCCUCCGACAAAGCCUCCUGUGGGUAAACAUCUGCAUCCAGGAGCAUGGAGCCAUGCAAAAUUUCCAGAACUAAAAUAUAAAAGACAAGUACAUGAAGCCUUACAAGCUGCUCUCGGUGCCCAUCAAUAUAGACCAUACUGUCCUUUCAGGGAUCCACAGAGUAAUUGGAUGCACAUUGAAAGUCGCUUAAUGAGCUGUAUCCCAUGAGAUCAUGCUGGAGACCCACGGCAGUUAAGCCUGAGUAGCCAAUUGAAGUCUGCCUUUGUAUCACGGAUAUUCUUCCUCAAAACUCUGUUGGCUCCUUCACUUGCCUGCCCCUAACUUGUCAGAAUGGGACCCUUGGCUGUAUGUUAAAAACCAGAAAUGGAAAGUUGUUUUGGUUUCCCUUAAUAAAAUCUUCACAAAUUUGAUUUUUAAUGUA